GUUGUCAAGUGGAAAACUGUCUAAUAUUGUUAGUAAAGAGAAAGCACAAAAGAGAAGGAAUGGAUUAGCUUAAGGUACCGCAAGGCAUUUAUCUAACUGAUGUUAAACAUCAUUCCUUACAGAGAAAAACUGCAGCACCCCAGAGAUAAGCGAAAUCAUACACCAGCAAAAGACUUUAGAUUAAUGAAGAAAGAGAGCUGAGGUAUUACAAAAGCUUCUUGGCUACCUCCUCUUGCCUCAGACAUAUGCCUGCCGACAGGAAUAAAUACAUGGGUGUUCACCUCCAGGAAGCCUCAAACCCAGUCCUCUGCAUGAUCACAAGAUAAACAAAGAUAAAGUUAUAUGUCUGUGUGACUAUAAAAGGGGAACAAAAGUAUCAGUUCAGAAGAGAGAAAAAUCAAGGGCACAUUCUGGUAGCAGCAGCAGAAAAAGAGAAAUAAAACCUCCAGACACAACCAGCCAUGAUGAUUGAAAAAAUCAUCUCCAAGGUCAUCAAAGAAUGUAUGUACCUUUAAAUUAAAACAUCGUUAAAAGCACAAGAAAUGUUUUCAUUUUCACCAGACUGUAAGCAUA
rnacentral:lncRNA from 1 species